rnacentral:rRNA from 1 species
AGGGUUUGAUUAUGGCUCAGGAUGAACGCUGGCGGCGUGCCUAACACAUGCAAGUCGAACGAAGCGAUUAGGAUGAAGUUUUCGGAUGGAUUCCUGGUUGACUGAGUGGCGGACGGGUGAGUAACGCGUGGAUAACCUGCCUCACACUGGGGGAUAACAGUUAGAAAUGGCUGCUAAUACCGCAUAAGCGCACAGUACCGCAUGGUACGGUGUGAAAAACCCAGGUGGUGUGAGAUGGAUCCGCGUCUGAUUAGCCAGUUGGCGGGGUAACGGCCCACCAAAGCGACGAUCAGUAGCCGACCUGAGAGGGUGACCGGCCACAUUGGGACUGAGACACGGCCCAA